rnacentral:lncRNA from 7 species
UGUAGUUAAUACUUGGGAUGUUCUGAAGACUUGAUACACAGUCCUUCCAGUGGCACAUAAGACAACUGACGACAGCAGCAGCACAGUUGGGCAUGAAGGUUUUAUGCCUAUGUCUGUUCAGAAAUGCCCUUUCAGUUAUGUACUCCCAUAAACUGAAUCAGCAUAUAAAUCUGCACGCUAUGCAAUAGAUGUAUAUGUAGCGGAGGCGCUGGGAUCCAACUCAGGAUAAUGGUGGUGUAGAUCACGCUUGAGUUCACAGGAUCUGCCACCUCUCCUGUAAAUCUUUCAAACUUCCUUACAUGUCAGUCCUCAAGCGCAUGGGGAAAACCUUUCUCGUGCAACUGUGGAACCACUUGUGUCCUCGAGUGUGAUUUCCCUUGUCUUCUGUGCAAGUUACCUGUGGGGAUGAGAUGCUUUGUCCUUUUUUGCUUUGCUUUGCCAAUUUUUCUUUCUACUUUACCUUCCUCAUGGAAAGUCAUGUAGGUAAAUAAGCCCACCUUAACUAUUCUUGUCUUUCAUCUUGUUGGCUGCCAAUAAACUUAAGCCUGGUUCCUGUGAUUAAUGUCCAUAAUUCUCUGACUGUGAUUAGUGAAAGCUUAUUUUCUAUCCCUGUGCUGAGCUCCUUGCUUUUUGUGAGAUGGUGAUCUUUAGACACCAGGUUGGUUGAGUGGAAAUGCUUUUGUAUUAUUUCUUUUGAAGAAUGAACGCGUUGACAGUAGUAGCAUAAUAAUAUCUUAGUCUUUUAAAUUUGAGUAGCUUAGAAACUAAAUCCUAAUGCAAUAUUUGCAUAAGUCAUUCAGUACAUAGAAUUAUGUUUAAGCUUUUUAAGACAUUAAGAAUACUAUAAGCUGCAAAGCGCAGUAAAUCAAUAAUGUUUAUUAAUCUUGAAUUCUAAGUAGAUACGCACACUGAAUUAAACCUUUUUUUUCUUCGGGAAAAUUAACAAUAUAGAACAUAAAAAGCCUUAAAAAGAAAUCCAUGGGGAUACAAUUUUGGUAAUGUAAGACAUUCAGGAGAUAAUUUUUCCUUGCAAGUUUUGUAAUACCCCAACUGAAUUGAUAAUUCUGCAUCAAUAUCACAUAUAUCCACUUUUGAGGCCUUGUUCAAAGUAAUUAUCUUCCCUGUUUUUUUAGAGCUCUAGAAAUUUUCAGUGUGCAAUUUAUGGUUUGAAUUGAUGUUUGCUCUGAAAGGAAUUAUGAUCACUAUAAAACUUCAAAAACAUUAUUUAUACUUAAUUUUUUUUUAAGUUUCUUUUGUUAAUUGACCAGGACUGGGUGUGAAGGGGAGCUAAUAAUUAUGAAGUUUAUUCUUUGCCUUACAAACAGUUGUCUUUCUCAUCUAGCUCUUUGUGUCUAGGUCUUGGAGUGUCCUAUACCUCUCUUUUGGACCCUCUGAUUUCCCACAGUUCCUUUGCAGGCAGGAAAUCAUGUGAGAAAAGCAUUAGUAGUGGAAAAAGGUGACUAUAGUGAAGUUGGCAUCAAUAGUUGGUAUGGGAUUAUAUCUUACAUAAUGUGCCCGAAACCUUUCAGCUCAAGGUACAUGGAAGAAGUUGGGUUAGUUGCUGGCUGUGCUUUUCCAUGCUAAGUAUAUAUUUCUAUUGAUGUAACUGCUAAUGAAAACCUACACAAAUCUAGUGUUGUCUAUCAUAAACGUAGAGUCCAAUAACAUUCAUCACAAUAAAAUCUCUGAAAGGUGGGGAAGAAAUGGAGAUUUUAGAUGUUAAGCACAAAAAUGCAGUUCUCAGAGUUUGGUUCAAUCUGCAAAGAGCAUCUCACAUAGAAAUCACAGUUCAAGAUAUUCAUAGCAAGUAGGACAUUCGGUCGUUAUCAUUUGAUGCAUAAUAUGGAAUAGCUUCGAGUGUCCAUUCAUUCCUUUAGGUGUUUUGAAACGUUCCAGAUACUCUUCUGCCUUGUGAUUUAUGACCAUUAUGCAAACUUCUGUUUGUCCUGAAGUUUGUGUGUAAUUUAAUUACUGGAUAAGUGGACAUAAUUAGCAUAAUGGCAAAAU